rnacentral:rRNA from 1 species
GGAUUUCUGUCGUGGUCAUCCGGCUCCGCCUGUAUAGGUGUGCGCCUGGUUUGCCCGCGGCUUUCUUCCGGUAGCCAACCGCGCUUCACUGCGUGCGUGGGUGUUCUCCGGAACUUUUACUUUGAGAAAAAUAGAGUGUUUCAAGCAGGCUUGUCGCCCUGAAUACUUCAGCAUGGAAUAAUAAGAUAGGACCUUGGUUCUAUUUUGUUGGUUUCUAGGACCAAGGUAAUGGUUAAUAGGGACAGUUGGGGGCAUUCGUAUUUAACUGUCAGAGGUGAAAUUCUUAGAUUUGUUAAAGACGAACUACUGCGAAAGCAUUUGCCAAGGAUGUUUUCAUUAAUCAAGAACGACAGUAGGGGGUUUGAGGACGAUUAGAUACCGUCGUAAUCUCUACCAUAAACUAUGCCGACUAGAGAUAGGGAAUGCAUUAUCCCAAUCUUCCCUGCACCUCAUGAGAAAUCAAAGUCUCCGGGUUCUGGGGGGAGUAUGGUCGCAAGGCUGAAACUUAAAG